AACUUUUGACAAUGGAUCUCUUGGCUCCUGCAACGAUGAAGAACGCAGUGAAAAGCGAAACGUGAUGCGAUUUGCGGCACCUGUGAGUCAUCGAGUCUUUGAACGCACCUGGCACCGGGAGGAUGAUUCCCGGUACACCUGUUUGAGCAAAGGUUAGGAUAAGUGGUUAGAAUAGAGCGGUCUAUUUUGACUGAAAUGGAUGGUGAGUGUGGGUUGCACAGUGUGACGGCAGGACUUGUCUUGACAGCACGGGUGAUCCACUUCAACUCACCCAAACAACAUUAUUCUCAAAUCAGGCGAGAACACCCGCUGGACUUAAGCAUAUCAAUAAGCGGAGGCU
rnacentral:misc_RNA from 1 species